CCUUGAGGACGCGACGCUGAGUGAAAUAAGCCAGUGACAAAAGGACAAUUCUUCAAACUCGUCCUGCCUGGUCUUGCUGAAGUGUAAAUUGCAGAGAGGGGAGUGGAGCCAUCCUCAGGCACUGCGCAGGCCAGGUUCCACCCUUGCCGAGAGUCCUUCCCUGACCACCUGAGCACCGGUCCUGAGGUUGGAUCCUGAGCAGCUGGCUGGACAGAUGGAUGGACAGACGGUGGGGUCUAAUCCUCCCAUCCUUGGAUGAACGUUGGACUUAGUGACUUGUUUCUAACAACUGGAACACGGUGGAAACGGUGGUGGGACUUCUGAGGCUGGGUCAUAAAGGUCAUUACAGCUCUCCUCGGUGUCUUGGAUUGCUCCCUUUGGAAAGCCAGCAGCCAUGCUGUGAGGACACUCAGUCAGCUCUGUGGAGGGGCCCACGGGGAGAGGAACCAAAGCUUCCCACCAACAGCCUGUACCACCCUGUCAGGCACGUGAGGGAUCCUCCUUGGAAGCAGAUCUUCCAGCUCCAGGCAAACCUUCGGACGAUGACAGCCUCAGUUGACAUGAGGCUUCAAUCUCACAAGAUACCCUGAGCUGGCAUGUCCCAAUCAGGCCACUUGUGAAUCCCUGACCUGUAGAAAUCUUGAGACCUAA